rnacentral:tRNA from 1 species
AAUUGAAUAGAGUUAAUCAUUUGCUUUGUGUGUAAAUUCGAAGUUUCAGUUU